GACCACACUGGCCUUGAGCUCAGAACAAUCCACCUGUCUCGGCCCCCAAGUGCUGGGAUUAAAGGUGUGUGCCACCUGUGCCCAGCGAAUUCAGAACUUCCUACUCCUAGGCAAGUGCUCUAUCACUGAGCUACAACCUCGAUCCCGAAAGAGUGCUUGUGUUCCAUUAAUAAUGAACUUUAAUUUUUUUUAAAUAUAGGAGACCAAGCAAGUUGGUUAAUGCCUGCAGUGCACACCAAGCAGGAGAAACCUCUCCAGAAAAGAAAUCCGGAUAGUGGCUUGGUAUUUAGGCUUACACAGCACCUUCACUAAAGAGCAGGCAGAUCUUAGGAGGAAAAAUGGACAUCAGGUUUGGCUUUUGGCUGCCACAGGUGUGGCAUUAUGAAAAGCCUAGAAGGAAGAUGUCUGUCUUAUUUGCCAGGAUUGUGUCAACAUCAAGAAGAGGACAGUGCUAAGACUGGAGGUGGUCAAGGCGAAACUUCCAUCAGCUGACUUUAGAGAUCAUCAGACAUCAGCUGUCUCUAUGAGUUCACCCAAGUCCAGCCUCAGCUAGAUCCAAGGCGUGUAUCUGAGAUGCAAGGUUGGCACCAUAUCUGCUCUGGCUCCCAAGGACUGGCCCCUGGGUCUAUCUUCACAAAAGGCUGGUGAUGACCUUCUGAAGAUAAUUGACUGGAAUGAUCUGAGAGUUACAAUGAAGCUGACAGACAGACCCAGACCAGGUGCUAUCAUUUGCUUCCUUCCUCCCCAUCAAACGCCCCCCAAGGAACCACUGAGAGACAGAGGCAGACAAAAUGAUGAAGCCCAGCGGAAACGCCACUCUUGGCAUGACGGAAAAGGCUGUGAAUUUUUGUGUGUGCUUUCCUCUCCACCCUCGCAGCCCGUUCCCAUCAACACAGCAAAAGGAGUGAGGGAGUGUGGGGUAGGAGUAGCUGGCUGGAGCUGCUGGUCGUCUCUCCCCAUCGUGGUACUGUCCAGGUUCACAAGAGCUAAGUCCUACCUCGAGGCGGUGAGCAGCCAGUGAGAGCAGAAGCUCCCACAGGGAGCCCCGCAGCCCACUGGCCGCGCGGUUCUGAUCGACAAGAACUUCCCUUCGGACCACCGGAGUCUCAGUGGCAGCAGAGAAAAAGAUGAACGCUCCAAGCGUUCUGUAUUCUUGAGUGGACGUGAGAAGAAAGGGCCGAGGAAGAGCAGUCACAGGCUUUGAUUGCUUCCCUGUUCCUUAGUCUACUAUGGGGGAAGCGUGGACCCUCCUGGGGGAGUUUUGGCGAGUGUCCACUGCCAGGUGUCAGGCAGGUUCCCCAGGCUUAGCCUACGGGCAGCAGCUGGGAGGCUGGCUGGGGAAGGCCGAGCUCCCUCCUCGCUCUCCAGUCCUAGGUUUAAGACCUGGUGUGCUUCAUGACCUCGUUCCUCCACCAAAAAAUACCGAGCAUGCUUUACCGACUGCAUCUCGUUGGGCCCAUUACUGUUAUUAUUAUUUGUUAUUAUUCUUUGUCGCUAUGGAUAUGUGACUUUCAGCGAAAUACAAGAGUAAUGCAUUGGGUGCAUAUUGGCCACUAGGUGGCAGCACGAGGCCACCAGAUGCUUACGGGUAGCUGGUAAACUAUGGGGAAAGACAGAGGACUCCACCUCUGACUCACAGACGGCUUUGGCUUCUCACAGCGUUUCCUCACAUUGCUGGGUUUGCACCUCACACCAGGCCCAGGAAACUGGCGGGUGGGGCAAAAGUCAUUGCCCCACUCCGAGGGCCAAGCGAAGGGAGGGCUACCCUGGGAGGGCCAGUGUCGUCUGAGGUCACAGAGGGGCAGAGGCGGAGGCCACCGGGAUCCUGGCUCCCCCUGGGAAACUCCUCCCUCGGAGCCUCAGAUAAGCUGGGUACUGAGAAGUGGACUAGGGCAGAAACCAGGAGGAAGGACAGCAGUUAUUUUUACACCGUCGCUCAGCUCAGUCUUGAAGCAAGCAGUAGCUUCAAGCGUGGCUUAGGUCUGCUUUUCACGCCUCACCAGGGGAGACUGUACUUUAGACUCUGACAGAAACCAACUCUCCCCGCCUCCCUCUGGGCCGAGCUUGUCCUUCUUCAAGCUUUCUCUGACCCUGCGCCGGUGGGAGGUCUGCUGGGCGGCCUCCCUCAGGACUGAGCACAAAGGGCAAUUCACUGUAUAUGUUGCACGGGCUGGACGACCCGGAAAGGCGAAUCAAGAAGAAAAGGCCACAAAACAGAACACAGGCAUGGAAUGAUCUGAUUGUGGGGAAGCGAUUUUCUGACCCCGAGGAGGAAGAGCCAGGGGGUUGCCAGGCAGAGUGUGCCGGGCACUUCAUGUCUGCGCUCGGCGCUUUCCCCUUGCUUCUUUCCCUCUGAGGUAGGAACACCAGCAAGAAGGCAAAGUCCGAGCUGGAGUCUGGACACUGGAAAGCUCUCUUACCACCCAGAGACUAGCGUUCAGUGUCUUUCUGAGAAGGUGAACAAACCUACAGAAGAGAGAAAAGCUAGAGGUUCCUUGUAGAUGAGAAAAAGCUAUUGUUCAUUAGUGGGGGUGGGAUGCAUAAAAUGCCAACUAAUUAUGAACCGGAUACAGCAGGACGCAACCUGGCCUGGGUGGUUCUUUUAAUUUUUUAUAAUUUAAAAAAUUUGUGUGUGGGGGCUUAGGGGGAGCUGGAGAGAUGGCUCAGAGGUCAAAAGCACUGUCUGCUCUUCCAGAGGUCUUGAGCUCAAUGUUCAGCAACUACAUGGUGGCUCACAACCAUCUAUAAUAAGAUCUGGUGCUCUCUUCUGGCCUACAGGCAUGCAUGCAGGCAAAACAUCGUAUACAUAAUAAAGAACUAAAUCUUUUUAAAAAAUGAAAAAAA
ensembl:lncRNA